rnacentral:pre_miRNA from 1 species
AGUGCAAUUGCUGGGUCAUAUAUUAAGAGAAUGUUUAGUUUUGUAAAAAACUAUCAAACUGUUUUCCAAAUUAGCUGCACCAUUUUGCAUGCCCACCAGCAGU